ACUUAUUAUUCUGUAGUUUGUAGUUUGGAGUGAUGUUCUAUCAUUUAAUCCGCAAAGUCUUGAUAAUACAUGAUCUGUGUAGGAACAUGGAACAUUGAGGCGUAUGUCAACCCAAUGAAUUGGAUAUUGAAGAAUGGCUGGAUAUAGAUGAACCAGCUGAUAUUUAUGUUCUUAGCUGUUUACGUGCAUCUGUUCGAUCUAUGGCUUCUCGGCGCUCUCCCAGGGAAGAAUGUGCGCCUUCAAAGGAAGGUGAACUUAAGAGUAAAAGCAGCUAAUGAGUUAUAGUUUAACAAGGAUGGCUCAGCUAUCAAGAAGCUCCAGACUGGAGUCAAUAAGCUUGUUACUGCUACUUCCUAACUGGUGCAUAGAUAAUUUAACGCCGCUUGUGCGGCAAUCUCCAUCUAUAUGUGACCUGCAAAAGAUAAAUCCUUAAAUAGUAGGUCAAUUGCGAAGCUUUGUUAGUGAUGAUCCGAUGAUCAAGAACCGAAGCACCUUCAAGGUACAGUUUCCUUUAUUUGCUAAACUGUGUUAAUUGUUUUGUUUUAGAAAAAUAGUGUAGUCAUGGCAUAUGUAU